rnacentral:rRNA from 1 species
UGAGACUCAUCCUUUGAUUGGCACAUUGUUUGAUAGAUAAUGAAAAAAAUGCAUCUUUAAUGAGUUAGGGAAGAGGGGUAGAAAAACAAAAAAAAAAAAAAAUUCCGCUAUGACACCAUAGCAGCGCUGCUCGAUUGUAAAGCGCGCCCACUACUUAUUGUAAAGAAAAUAUGAAAAACACUUUACAAGUCUGGUAGACCUCAUCUAAGCUACAAUAUGCCACGAAACCGAUACAACAAGUACCGUGGGGGAAAGUUGCAAGAACUUUGAAGAGAGAGUUCAAGAUGGGCGUGGAAACCGUUGAGAUUGAAACGGAUUUAGAGGUGUAACGAAACUCGGCUGCAUUUCAUCCGAUCGGCCUAGAUGAGAUCAGUUAGGCGUCGAUCCUCUGAUGAGGGCAACGUUAUCGUUAACUUAUUGGGUAAUUGCAUUCGGUGUAUUGUGCUGCUUGUAUGCGCUUUGAGAUGUUUUGUUGAUCGCAUGUCUAACGGGUGUGCAGUGGACCCAGUCCUUCCGGGUGUGGAAACCUUCACAUCUUUAGGCAUGUCGAUUUAUAAAGGUUUGAACGUGAGUCUCCGCUAUGUGCUCGCUUAUGCGUACUAUUGUGAUUUUGAAUAUUCGCUGCGAAUAUUUGUAGUUUAACGAUAUUGCCGACAAAAGUGGCGGACGCGUGAGACGUGUAUCUCGGUGUGAACGUUGACCGACCUAUCCGACCGUCUUUGAAACACGGACCCAAGGGAGUUCUAGCAUAUGCGCGAUCAUGGGUUGUUAAACCUAAGGCGUAAUGAAAGUAAAAAGUCACCCUCGAUGUGGCCGAUAUGGGUUCCGGAUAACUUACGAGCCAUUCGGCGCACCAUAGCCCCGUCCCCAUUGCUUGCAAUAGGGCGGAGUAGAGCGCAUAUGCUGGGACCCGAAAGAUGGUGAACUAUGCCUGAGCAGGAUGAAGCCCAGAGGAAACUCUGGUGGAAGUCCGAGCGGUUUCUGACGUGCAAAUCGAUCGUCUGACUUGGGUAUAGGGGCGAAAGACUAUCGAAACAUCUAGUAGCUGGUUCCUCUUGAAGUUUCCCCCAGGAUAGCUGGGAGUUCGUAUGGUGCAGUUAUAUUCGGUAAAGCGAAAUGAUUAGAGGAAUUGGGGACGAAACGACCUCACCUAUUCUCAAACUUUCAAUGGGUAUGAAGUCCCGCUUGCUUGACAUUAAUGAAGCGUGGACAUUGAAUGUGAGCUCCAAGUGGCCAUUUUUGGUAAGCAGAACUGGCGCUGUGGGAUGAACCAAACGUCGGGUUAAAGUGCCAAACUUCCCGCUCAUGAGACCCCAUGAAAGCGUUGGUUGAUAUAGACAGCAGGACGGUGGCCAUGGAAGUCGGAAACCGCUAAGGCGUGUUGUAACAACUCACCUGCCGAAUCAACUAGCCCUGAAAAUGGAUGGCGCUGAGCGGGAGACUUAUACCCGACCGUUGCUUGGCUUGUGUGUUUCUCCUCAUAUGAGAGAUCGCCUGGCCGCAACGAGUAAGAGGGUCGCAGUGGUUUGCGUUGAAGGCUUUGGGCGUAGGCCCGGCUGGAGCUUCCACUGGUGCAGAUCUUUGUGGUAGUAGCAAAUAUUCAAGUGAGAUCCUUGAAGACUGAAGUGGAGAAGGGUUCCACGUGAACAGCAGUUGAAUGUGGGUCAGUCGGCCCUAAGAUACUGGCUAAUGCCAUGUGUUAUCGAGAGAUGGAGUUCAAAUCUGUCUCGUUUAUCGAAAGGGAAACGGGUUAAUAUUCCCGUACGGACACGGAGAUAAGCGCUCAUUGCGAGUGUUUAGCGCGGGUAACGCAAACGAACUCGGUAACGUUGAAUAGAGCCCGAGCUAGAGUUCUCUUUUUCUAGUUAAGAACGAAUUCCCUGGAAUCGGUUCAGCCGGAGAUAGGGAUGUUGUUUCCGUAAGCGCCACGGUUCCUGUGGUGUCUCGUGCGCUCUAUUCGGCCCUGAAAAACCGAGGGAGGCUAUUUGAAUUUCGUGCCAGCCUACCGAUAUCCGCAGCAGGUCUCAAGUGAACAGCCUCUAGUCGAUAGAAUAAUGUAGGUAAGGGAAGUCGGCAAAUUAGAUCCGUAACUUCGGGAAAAGGAUUGGCUCUAAGGACUGGCCGGUCGGGCUGCAGUGUGAAGUGAGCUCGGUUUGAUCCAUGCAGUGCAACGCUCGGAAACGGGUGGCGCUCGGCUAGCGUUCGAACUGUCUUGUGGACCGCUGCAGCUGUGUGCCGCGUCAAUAAUGGCGUUUGGUGCUUCGGCGGGCGCUAAACAGUCGACUUAGAACUGGCACGGACUCGGGGAAUCCGACUGUCUAAUUAAAACAGAGGAGACAGAUGGCCUUGCGAGCGUUGACUGUCUCUUGAUUUCUGCCCAGUGCUCUGAAUGUAAAAAGUGAAGAAAAUUCAACCAAGCGCGGGCGUAAACGCGGGAGUAACUAUGACUCUCUUAAGUAGCCAUAAUGCCCUCGUCAUCUAAUUAAUGGACGCGCAUGAGGGGCCGGUGGGUUUACUCACUUCUGACCCAUGAGUGACUGGGAGACACGCUUUGAGUCGGCGCAAUGCCGGCCGAAGUUAAGGUCUGACAAAAUGAAAGUGCUGAAUGGCAUCUUUCAAGGUGACUCGUUAUCACCAACCCUUUUUGUAUUAUGCAUAGCACCUAUCAGCUAUGCACUCAAUAAGGGUGUCGGCCAGUGUCAAUCCUCAUCCGGCUGGAGUGCAGGUUACGGUUUUGGGAUUGGACAUCAGUUCUAUAUGGACGAUCUUAAACUGUACGCUAGAACGCCUGCGAUGCUAGACUCCCAAAUCCAGGUGGUGUCUGAGGUGUCGGAAGCAAUGGGACUCCAUUUGAAUUUGAGUAAAUGUGCGAAAGCACAUUAUGCUCUGCAUGGGGCGGGCGGAGCGCAAGAAGCUGUGGAAGGUGCAGAAGGAUCGAGGAAGGGAGAAAUCCCAAUACUCGGGCUUCGAAGCACCUAUAAAUAUCUUGGAGUGGAGCAACGACUCCUUCCGACGGAAGUAGCCCUCAAAGAGUUUGAGGAUAAGUUUAUGGAUCGAGCAAAAACAAUCUUCGCUAGCGAACUCACAUGGGGGCAGAUGGCCACAGCGUAUAAUACUAUAGCUAUCGCUGGUCUACGAUAUGU